UCUUUAUGUAAUUUGACAAAAUAGCAGCGUAACUUCGAGAGCAAGAGUACCUCCUCAUAAAGGGGUCGCAGUGACCAGGCUCGGGUGAUUGUUUUCUACAAACACAGAUCUCUGUAAAGUCGUAAGACCAUGUAUGGGGGCUGCGUCUGCCUAAUGUUGGAAGGUCAAGGAUGUUGGUGACUUGAUGACAGGGGAGUCGACGAUCGGAGCCCCGUGAACAUUGGUUGUAACUAUAACAAUUCUAAAGUAGCGAAAUUCCUUGUCGGGUAAAUUUUGACCUGCACAAAAAUCGUAACGAUCUGAGCACUGUCUCGGAGA
rnacentral:ncRNA from 1 species